rnacentral:rRNA from 1 species
UACAGAGGUCUCAAGCGUUGUUCGGAUUCACUGGGUUUAAAGGGUGCGUAGGUGGAUUAGUAAGUCAGUGGUGAAAUCUCCGGGCUUAACCCGGAAACUGCCAUUGAUACUAUUAGUCUUGAAUACCGUGGAGGUCAGCGGAAUAUGUCAUGUAGCGGUGAAAUGCUUAGAUAUGACAUAGAACACCAAUUGCGAAGGCAGCUGGCUACACGAGCAUUGACACUCAGGCACGAAAGCGUGGGGAUCAAACAGG